rnacentral:lncRNA from 1 species
CCCUCUCAUUGCAGCAGGAGCUUUGUAGACUUCUGGUCCCUUCAUUUCUCGCUCUGUGGACGGCUGACCACUUCCUUGUGGGUAAUUAUAAAGAAUUGCACUUCAUCGCUCCUCAGCCUUGCUGAAGAGUGCAUGGCAGAACUUAUACUCCAGCAUGGAGCAAGUCAUGAGAUAUGUUGGUCUGUGUCCUCAUGAACAUGGCCUAGGAAUCUGGAUAUGACUUCAGGAGAGUCGAUAAUAGUGAUACUUGGGUCCUGGCAGUGACCUUCAAAGUGAACUUAGAGGACCUCGUCCACAUCCACCUCUGAGCUGCAACAUCUGAAGAAUCGAGAUCUCCUGGAAGUCAAGUCCAAGAUAGUGCCACAAUGGCAGACUAAGAAAAUGAUUCCACCUGUGUCUAUCUUCACGGUCCAGAGAGUUUACCAGAGCUACGGAAGCAUGAGUGGGGGCUACUUAGAAGAGCAAGGGUAAAUAUACACUUUUAGGAGCACACAUUACAUAUAGCUGGACACACCACUGACCCUACCUCAACAUCACUUAGCUGUUUAUAUAUCCUGAGGAGGGGGGGGGGUUCUGCUGCCUCGCCAGCCCCUUACACUCUUCAUGACAGAUCACUAAUGGCCUCAAACUUGAGGGUCUCCUGGGGGUAAUCACAGCUGCUCUGAUUUCCAGAUGGCAGUGUCUGGUCAUGUCAUGUUUCAAGGACCGAGUUCCACAACACUUGGUGAACUCGGUUGGUUCGUGAGAUGGGCACUGUUGAUAGGCACUUUACAUGGGAGGCCCCAUUCUCUCCAUCAAUAAUUCUUGGGUUACCCUCAGCAGCAACAACAAGCAUAGUGAGAGGAAAAAAUGUGCAUCAACAUGGAAGGCACACAAAUAGCACCCAAACUAAAUACUCUAGUUUGCUUUGCAACAUUUUAUAUAAAGGCACUUAUGCCAUUUUUUUCUUUCACAAAUACUAACUAUUUUAUUAGAGAUUGAAUUUGCUUUCCAGUUUGAAGAAUCAAAGGCUAUCUUAGCUUAAAAUAGCUUCUCAGAACACAAACAUUUAAUUCAGUGAAAAAUUCUGCCUCCUUUAGCUAAAACAGGCUACAUAGCCGAAUGUCCUUUGUGCUGCCAAGAGGUCGUAGGAGGUUUUUCUGUUGAUCCUUUUGCAAAGCAUAAAUGUUCCUUUGUGCAAAAGGAGGUUGCCCCGAGUGUGAGUUGCUAGGAAGCAGGAUGAUAACCACAUUCCUGUGGAGCUGACACUUAAUGCUUCCUGACUUCAGUGUGUGGGCUAGCAGGCCAUGCACAGGUAAUAAGGACAAGAGCAGUCCCCUCUGCCCCAUUCACUAGUAAAGAUGAACAUAAAGAAGAAUGCUUGCCGAGCAAGGCCUCAUCAUGUGCCUUGAUGAAGUGGCCCUGGCAAAACUGAAACCAGUACAGUUGUUGAGCUUUGUAGAGGCACAGGGAGCAAAGCUGGAACUCAGUAUCAGAGCCACAAAGGCCCCAACGUGAAGGCGCAGGGAAACCAGGAGAUAUUACAUGGCAGCAGAGGGAUCUGUGUAUUAGUACACUUCCCAGUAUCCCAAUCAGAUAUCCUCCUUCACUGAAGUCGAUACAGGGAAUGUCACAUCUAUAACACUAUCUUAUUGUGACUCCCAGGCAAGAGGAAAAGAGAGCACCAAUCUGUAACUGCAAAAAAUGGGGCAGUAAAUAUAUGAUCCCCAUCUCCCUGUCAAGAAUGGGUUCAUUUUUAAUUAUGUGCAUGAGUGUGUAUCUCUGUGUGAGGAUGCACACAUGAUUGCAUGUACUCAUAGAGGAAAGAAGAGGAAGUCAGACCCACUUGGAGCUAGAGUUCCAGGUGGUUGUGACGGGUGCCAGGAAAUUAACUCCAGUCUUCUAAGAAGACAGCAUGUGCUCUGUCCAAUUUGGCUUCCUAUUACUAUGAUAAAACACUGUGGCCCAAAGUAACUUGGGAGUAAAGGAUUUGGUUUUUUGUAUACCUCCCCAUCACAGUGCAUCAUUGAGGGAAGCCAGGGCAGCAACUUGAGGCAGAAAUCUGGAGGCAGGAACCAAGACAAAGACGCCAUGGAAGAGAGCUGCUCACUGCCUGGCUCCCUCUGGCUUGCUCAUUCUGCUUUCUUAUACCACUCAGGACCACCACUGCCCAGGGAUGGCACCACUCACAACUAGGUUGGACCUUCCCACAUCAAUCACUAAUUAAGAAAAUGCCCCAUAGACUUACUUUUAGCCAAUCUGAUGUAGAUAAUUCUCAUCGAAGAUCCCCUCUUUCUUGUGUCAAUUUUAGCUAGUUUUGAGCUGAAUAAAUAAAU